AGCUUUGCGCAGUGGUAAUGUCAUAGGCAAUUAAGGUUUACUGAGUUGUGAUUAUUGCUAUUUAAAAACUUUACCCAAUACCCCGUUAAGUCUGUUUUAUGACAGACUUGCAAUUUAUUACCUUCUCUGAAGAGA